UAUCCAUAGACUCGGUCCAGAAACAGUUUUUUUAAAACGCACUGCGAGCUCCUAACGGACUACUUUAUGUAAAGACCGCUAAACUGGAGCAAGAAGCCAAGAAACAGAUUCAAAUUCAGCGCGAGUGAGCAGUUUCUGUUCGCCCAGGUAUCUUCCCUGCAAAACGAAGCUGGUCUCGUGGCCAUAUCAACGACAUAACCAAGCACCUACGAAUGGACGUUUCACGGUAAUAUUUCCCUCAGGUAGUCGUAUUAAAUGAGGUUAAGUGAAAAAGUUUCUCUAGACUGGUUUCGUCAGGGUGGUGAAGGAACAGAAUUCGACGUUCUUCGUUCAGAACUGGUAAUAUUUCCCUCAGGUAGUCGUGUUAAAUGAGGUUAAGUGAAAAAGUUUCUCGAGACUGGCUUCGUCAGGGUGGCGAAGAAACAGAAUUCGACGUUCUUCGUUCAGAACUGGUAAUAUUUCCCUCAAGUAGUCGUGUUAAAUGAGGUUAAGUGAAAAAGUUUCUCGAGACUGGCUUCGUCAGGGUGGCGAAGAAACAGAAUUCGACGUUCUUCGUUCAGAACUGGUAAUAUUUCCCUCAAGUAGUCGUAUUAAAUGAGGUUAAGUGAAAAAGUUUCUCGAGACUGGCUUCGUCAGGGUGGCGAAGAAACAGAAUUCGACGUUCUUCGUUCAGAACUGUAUUUCAGACAAACAAGACAAGAUGGACCAGCAUGCCGCAGAAUUAUAAAGACCACACUGGAGUCGACAGUAAUCUUGCAGAAGUUGGUUAUGCUGAAGCUUUGGUGAGGUCCACACUAUCUUCAGAGGUCACCGUUGAUGUUUCUGCCUGUUGUGUCCC